AGCUUGAGUUGAGCAUGGAAAGCUUGUGGGAAGGGAGAAGAAAUGUUACCUAUGGGGAGUAGGGGCUGCCUGCAAUAAUCCUGCAGAAACUUUACCGAGCUCCCUCACUAUCAAACUUGCUAUUGUGGCUGAAUUUUCAAAGUGUGUGGGAGGGGGAACUUGAGGGUGAUAAAGAGGGGUUCUUAUAGGCACAUUGUAGUAUACUUAGGAGGAUUAAAUGACUGUUGCAACAGUUUUGUUUUCAUUUGCUGCAGCAUAUCGAUUUCUCCUUGAUUCUCACCACUUUUAAUUAAGAACUUUUGGUUUUAUGCUUGGGCCCAAGUAUCCUUGUAUUAAUGUGCUUUGUUUGGUCUUGCAUAGUGUAAAAGGAGAGGAUGCAGGGGCUGCCUUGAGGGGUGGAUUUGCAGGCAUUGACUUUCCUUUUUGGGUUGGGAAAGGCUCAGCUGCCACCUGGCUACCCGAGACAUGGGCAUGCUGGCCCGGGCCCGACGGUUGCUCGGAUAUGGGCCGUGGUGGGGGUGAGAUUUGGGCUUGGAAAAAGAGGCCCAAAGUGUAGAUAGUAGGAGCUUUUAGUUUCUUAGUCUUCUUGGCUCAUUCAUGAAUAUUUUUUAAAAGUAUAGUAACCCAUAUUCUUUUCUUUCCGUUCAUAAAUCACACGUGAGAUGAUCAUAUAGGUUAAUGUAUUAUUCGAGAUGUAUACGAACACUUUAGUUCGAGAAGAACGACUUUAACUCCUUGUACAACGUUCAUUGUAUUUCAUAACUAUACGUUAGAA